rnacentral:misc_RNA from 1 species
ACAUCAGUUCUGCAGGGAGAUCUUUGGUAUUAUAUAUAUCGGUUUUCAAAUCACCUCUUAUGAGCUAACUUUUAAGGUGGAAUUAGGCAAGUUCAUAUCAUUUGGUAUCAGAGCCUCACUCUGUAUGGAUCGGUGAACCAUGCACAAAGGUUUCCUGACGUUCUUCAGCAAAGGUCAGGGUGAACGACUCAUGACCCUAGUUGCUUCACGAGAACGUUUAGUCUAAAGGGGUCAGUAAUUAUGCAUCCCAUAUUGGUUCUGCAUAGAGGUCUUGGGUGUUAUAUAUAUGGGUUUGCAAACCUCCCCUUCUGAGCUAGCUUUUAAGCUGAAGUUAGACAGGUUCAUAUCAUUAGUAUCAGAGCCUCACUCUGUAUGAGUCGGUGAGCCAUGUACAAAGG